AGCGAACGCUGGCGGCAGGCUUAACACAUGCAAGUCGAGCGCCCCGCAAGGGGAGCGGCAGACGGGUGAGUAACACGUGGGAACGUGCCUUUUGGUUCGGAACAACCCAGGGAAACUUGGGCUAAUACCGGAUAAGCCCUUACGGGGAAAGAUUUAUCGCCAAAAGAUCGGCCCGCGUCUGAUUAGCUAGUUGGUGGGGUAAUGGCCCACCAAGGCUACGAUCAGUAGCUGGUCUGAGAGGAUGAUCAGCCACAUUGGGACUGGGACACGGCCCAAACUCCUACGGGAGGCAGCAGUGGGGAAUAUUGGACAAUGGGGGCAACCCUGAUCCAGCCAUGCCGCGUGAGCGAUGAAGGCCUUAGGGUUGUAAAGCUCUUUUAGCAGGGAAGAUAAUGACGGUACCUGCAGAAAAAGCCCCGGCUAACUUCGUGCCAGCCGCCGCAGUAAUAC
rnacentral:rRNA from 1 species